rnacentral:tRNA from 1 species
AUCUAAAUAGUUUAAUUAAAAUAUUGAUUUGUGAUAUCAAAGAUAUAUUAUUAUUUUAGAUU